GGGCAGAGCGCGUGUGGCCGCCGAGCACAUGGGCCUGCGGGCCGAGCGGGCUCGGGGAGGCCGGGACGAGGAGGGGCGACGAGGAGCUGCGAGCAAGGAUGUGCCUCGGAAUCCCCCGCACCUUCCCGUGGAUUUCCUUGCUGAAAGGAUGUUGGUGGACCCUGUGACCUGUGGAGACACGGCCAGAUCUGCCCUCCAGAGGAAAACCUUCCUGGAAGCUGCAGAAGGACUAAUACAGAAUCCAUGUCUGGGAGAAACCUCGUGGCCUGGUCUCCAUUAUUUGAGAUGAGUUACAUCUUGGAGGCCUGAUCUUUUGGCCAGAAGGAGAUUAAAAAGAUGCCCCUUAAGAUGGCUGUGCCUGUCAGCUGCAUGGAGCUUCGUUCGAGUAUUUUCUGAGCCUGAUGGAUUUACAGUGAUCUUCGGUCGUCUGAGGAAUAACUCUGGUGGAACAAUGCACUGGAAUGACACACGCCCUGCACAUUUCAGGAUACUAAAAGUGGUUUUGAAGGAGGCCCUGGCUGAAUGCCUCAUGGAUUCUUACAGCUUGGAUGUCCAUGUGGGAUGAAGGACCGCAGCUGGCUGCGAGGACUGAGAUCUCUGUUUACUUGGGUCUCUGCCAACUUCCUUUGGGUCUCCCUAUGGAAUGUAAGACCCCGACUCCUCCUGGUGAAGCGUCUGAUGCAUGUUCCGUCCGGCGCUCAGCUGGGCUUGAGCUGACCACGCUCCCUGGAGCCUUCUCCCGAGGUGGCGCAGGUGUCCUUGGCACAUACAGCCGUGGUGAUGGUACUUUAAGUGGAGGCUGAAUCAUUUCCCCUUUGAGCUGCAUGGCACAUGGCUCCCUUGGUGUUCCCAUUUUACAGCCAGGACACUGAGAUUUGGAGAGAGAAUCCUGUUACACUUGGGAUUUAGGCACUUUCAAUCUGAAAAAAACAUAUCCCUUCAGCACUCUGGAUGGACUUGAGAAUUGUCCUUACCUGAACUAAAGCUGGAGUAUUUUGAGAUUGGAGAAUUAAGGAGACAGCACGAAUUCUCCUACAUGUUCACCACACAACUGGUGCUGUGAGAGAGACGAAGAUGAGUCACGCCUGUACUGCUCUUUAAACACUCACAAUUGGAUGGUUAUCCUGGCCAGAAAGCCAUAGCUUUUCCUCAUCAGAGCUUCAGUGCUAUGGAAACUUGAAGUUUGGAGGGUCUGAUGUCUCAGUCUGGAUGAGGAUGAGUUCCCUGCAUUCCUGGGUCAGCAGCUCCCAUCCUCUUAGAUUCCAGGAUGGUGGCUGGACAUGGUGGCUCAUACCUGUAAUCCCAGCACUUUGGGAGACCAAGGCAGGAGUAUGGCUUGAGCCCAGGCAUUCAAGACAAGACUGGGCAACACAGCAAGACCCUGUCUCAAAAGAAAAAAAAAGAUUCCAAGAUGGUGUAGAACAUCAGAGAGGAGCCCUUCGAGAUUAUUUGGCCAUUGUCACCCCACCUGCUUAUAGAUGGAAAUGCAUAGACUCAGAGAGGUCGGGGGACAUAUAGACAGCUGUACAAAUCCAGUGGACCUCAAAUCCAGGCGUUUCUAAACUGAAUUAAAUUAUCUCGCCCUUGGGCGAUGGAGAAUGGAGCAGAAGUGACCACAGCAGAAUAGGUGGGAAGGUUCCUGCGACAGCAAAGAUUCUGCUGCCCGGUUCCUGAGAUAUUAAGAAUGUGUUGUCUACACAACUACAUGGCCAGCUGCCUCCUCCUUAAUUUUUGUUUUGUUUUGUUUUGUUUGUUUGUUUCUGAGACAGAGUCUUGCUCUGUAUCCCAGGCUGGAGUGCAGUGGCAUGACCACAGCUCACUGCAGCCUCAAUCUCCUUGGUUCAAGUGAUCCUCCCACCUCAGCCUCCCAAGCAGCUGGGACUACAAGUGCAUGCCACCAAGUGCUAUUUUUUUUCUUUUUUAAAUUUUUUUUAGAGGCAGGGGUCUUGCUACGUUGCCAGGGCUGGUCUCGAACUCCUGGGCUCAAGUUAUCCUCCUGCCUCGGCCUCCCAAAGUGCUGGGAUUAUAGGCGUGAGCCAUCAUACCCAGCCCUCCUUAAUUUUUUAACAUGAAUUAAUAGGACUUGGACACACAUAGCCUCAUUUAUAUGGGCAGCCAUCACAGCCUGCCACGUAUCAGAUGAGGUCUCUGGGGCUCUCACUCCUUGCAUCGGGACUGAUGCCACAUGUGGCCCAGCUGUAGGUCACAUUCAUCUCCUGCGUUCUCCGGGAUCAGAUGGAAUACCAGCACAUCUACCCUCGUGUGCCCUGGGAGUUUGUAAUAAUGUAUGAAUAUGUAGAUUUAUUUCAGAGAACAUUUUCAGAAUCCUGUUGCGCAUGUGCACAAAAAUAUUGGCUGCAGUGUGUUUAUAACCAUGAAAACUCCAAAAUAGCUUCAAUCUCCUGUGAAAGGGGAGUGGUUGAAGGCCCUCCAGCACGUGCACAGAAUUCUUUCUUCAGCCAUUGAAACAUGAAAAUGACGGUUAAAAAUGACUCCAUUAUGGGGAAAAGGGACAGGAUGCAAAUGGCAUGAUGAUAUGAUGGCACGAUGUAUGAUAAGGAAAGAAAAAGAUGUUGUAAAAGGUCACAUAAAGUCACCCGCAGAUCAGCAGUCAUGCCAUGAUUAGCUGCUCUGUGCCAGACACACAGGCUGCAAAUUGUAGCUGCUCACCCCAGGAAGUGGGCAGCUGCCCCUCUGUGCCUCCGUUGCCUCUGUUAGGCUCCUGGAAGCCCCCUUCAUUGCUGUGUAAUGACAUCUUCAUCACCACAUGUAACAGCUUCUUUACCACUAUGUGCAAUGUCAUUCUGUGUGCCUCUUGGGCUAAACCAUCACAGAGGAAAAGAGUGCUGGAGAAAUGCCAGGGAUAUCGGUACGGAAAUGUUCCAGAUGGAAAGUCUCGGCUUCAGGUGACCGUAGCAGUGAAUGUCAGGGUCAAACAGGGGGUGUAUUCUUGGGAGAGCGUCAGCUCGUCUGUGACCUAGUGUUCAGCCGGCUUCCCGGAAAGGAGGCUGCAUCCUGACAUUGAAGCCCUGUGUGCUAGGAUGAGUGUGUUACGCAGAGCCUUACACAUGAGAAAAUCUUGCAUCCUCAGGACAGGCGGUUAGUGUUGCUGUCUGGAAUCCACCGGCUACGUCCCUCCUCCCUCCACCACUUAAAAUUCCCUGAAUCUGACAGUGGUAGGGAAAGGGCUGAUCCUGGAGAAGAUUGUUCCUUGAUAAUCCUAGUAUGAUUCAUAAUGGUUGCAGCAGAUGAGCCCUGAGGUCCGUGGCUCAGUCUGCAGCUGAGGAAGGCUCUUCCCUGGGGAGGUGUGUCCAGCUUCUCGGGAAGACCUCAGCUGUCUGGCUGGCCUGGGCUGCCCAGUUCUUAGCAGUGCGUCAGUGAUCAGCAGCCCCUGACCAUCAGACAGCGUUUCCCGCCUGCCAGAGAACGUCGGAGCCACUGCGUCUGGACCAGCUGAAGGCAGCCACGGUGCCCAGGAUGCUGCUGCUGCCUCCAAGGAAAAGAAUUCUGAAAAUGAGGAAUUACAGCCUGGUGGUUUUGUUUUAUGUUUAUUAAUUUUUUUACAUCUGGAAGAUAAUGGAAAAAUUAAAAAUUGCUAUAAUUGCACCAAUUUUAAAAGUUAAUAAUAUAAAGAAGGGAGAGUCACCAACACCAGCUUGAAACCCAUCCCGCCCCUUCUUGAGAUAAUACCUGUUAUCAAUUUGGUGAUUUAUGCAAACGUAGUGGUGUACUGUUAAACUUCUCAAGAGGAGAAACAAAAACCCUGAAUUGUAGGUUUGUCGAUUUCAAUGGUGAAAUCCCACUGCAGCCGGUUUCAGGCAACCAAAGCUUUAAAAGCCAGUUCGCAAAAUUCUUGAAUAUUUAAUAAUCAGCUUUUGCAAGUGCAUACAUGCUCACAGCGUUUGCUUUUUGUACUUCAUUUUGAGGGAGGCAGGAAAUGGAAACUUGCAAUGGUAUUGGUAAGCAUGCCAUUUUUAUUUACGGUAUCACCACGUCUUCCCAGACUAGCAUGUGCAGAUUCACUUAGCUCCUCUCACUUGUGGGAUGGAGUUUCCAUGAAGGCGCACUGUGUUGCUUCUGGAAGGGCAGAAUCGGCCCCCCAGGAGAGGGGAGUGGCAGCAGCUUAGCACUCGGAGGUUAGCUCCUGCAAUGCUAUCCACAUUUGGCGUUUACUUGGAGUUCACUCUAGCUUCUGGUUUCUUCUAAAUAUGUUCUUCCAAUAACCUGUGGCCUAAUCAACGUUGCUGGUGAUACAUCCCUUUGCUCUGUUCAAUUCCAGUUUCCAUCAGAGAAUCUCAUUUUUCUUUUGGGAAAUGUUUCCUGAUUUUCUUCUUUUCCACCACCCCUCCCUGAGGCUGGGUAAAGUGCUUCUUCUGCAAUGAUGCUUAGAACCCAGGCCUCCUUCUGUGACAGGGCUCUCUGCACCUUAUGGUUUAUUGUGUGAUGUCUCAGCCUGUUUCCUGCAGAGAAGCAGAGAAGUUCUGGUGAACAGAAUGGCCCUCUAAAGAUGCCCACGCCCUAAUCUCUGAUGUUAUGCCUAUGAAUGAAUAUGUUACUUUAUAUGGCAAAGGGGACUUUGCAGAUGUAAUUAAGGUUACGAAUCAAUUGACUUCUAAUAGGGAGAUUAUCCUUGGUUAUCCAGGUGGGCCCAAUCCAAUCACAUGGGCCCUUAAAAGCAGAGAUUUUCUCUGACUGUGCUGAGGAAGAUGCCGUGAACGAUUCUAAGUGUGAGAAGGAUUUGAUGUGCCACUGCUGGCUCUGAAAUGUGGGGCCCACUUGUAGGAACUGGAGGGAGAGACUGGUUGCUAAGGGUGGCCCCUAGCUAACAGCCAACAGAGAAAUGGGGACCCCCCCAAUCCUACAGCUGCAGGGAACUGAUUUCAGAACAUGAAUAAGUUUGGAAGAGGAUCCUUCCAGAACCUCCUGAUAGGAGUCCAGUCCGCUGUCACCUUGAAUUCAGCUUCGUGAACCAGGAGCAGGGAAACCAGCUGAGCCAACCCACUCUCUGACCUAAGGAGCACCGAGGAAAUUGAGGCUGUUCCCUUGACCUCUCCAGACAACUUCGUGGUGACUUCAAGCCCUCUUAUGAGGUGGUGGAUCAUAGCUACCGUUGAUUGAGGAAACUGCCAAAUUGUCUUCCAAAGUGGCUACAUCAUUUUGCAAUCCCACCAACAAUGAGAGUCCCUGUUGCUGCAAAUCCUCCACCAGAAUUUGGUAUUCAUGUUUUGGAUUUCAGCAUUCUAAUAGAAGGACAGAAUAAUGGGCUCCAGAUUCGCAAGCCCCACCAAGAGGAUCACCCCAGGAACCCUUGGAGGCUGAGGAAUUCACUGAGGCUAGUGCAUCUCGAGACUCAGGAUGAAGACCCAACUUGGGGCUGUCAAAGAGGCUUGAAGAGGCAGAACACCCGAGAGGAGUCUGGGGCCACCACCCAGCGUCACUGGGAAAACGGCAGCAGGAAAUGUCCUCUCACCUGCGUGCUCCACCUCUGUCCACGCCUUCCCUCCUUCUGGAAGCCUUGCCUGACCACUGGCCUGCCCCUUCUAUGGGAAUCGCUGCUGACCUUGCAGCUCACUGUAGACUUAUAUGUAUGCAGAAAUAUAAUUUUAAUUACUUUUGUAUUGCUCCAAGAGUGAUACCGAAUCACAACAGAAAAUUUAAAUAAACAAACUAGCCAAAUUAAUACAAGCAAUCACCCCAGUCAAAUACACCCAGCUCACAUUUUGAUGUAAAAUCUUCCAGUACAUUUCCUAUGUACAUAUAUAUUUUUAGGAAGGAGAUUAUAUUUUACAUGCUGUUUUCUAAAACGUUCUUUUAAAACUGUGUCAUAAACAUUUUUCCUUAUAAUUAAAUCGUCUUCUACAACGAAA
ensembl:lncRNA